rnacentral:misc_RNA from 1 species
CCGCCACCGGCAUACCCUCCACAGGGAUAUCCACCACCGGGAUAUGGUCCUCCUCCUCCUGCUUAUGCCCCACAGUACGCCCAGCCGCCCCCUAAACAGAGUAGCGGCCCUGGCUGUUUGGAAGGCUGUUUGGCUGCUCUGUGCUGUUGCUGCGUGCUAGAAGCAUGCUUCUGAUAAGGAUGAGAGAGCUCAAUUUGGAGUUGUGAUUCGACGAAAGUGUGAUUUCAACUGAGACUUUAUUAGUUUCUAUUAAAU